rnacentral:rRNA from 1 species
UCGGGUUGUAAAGCACUUUUGUCCGGAAGAAAUCCUGAUGGCUAAUAUCUGUCGGGGAUGACGGUACCGGAAGAAUAAGCACCGGCAACUACGUGCCAGCAGCCGCGGUAAUACGUAGGGUGCGAGCGUUAAUCGGAAUUACUGGGCGUAAAGCGUGCGCAGGCGGUUUUGUAAGACCGAUGUGAAAUCCCCGGGCUUAACCUGGGAACUGCAUUGGUGACUGCAAGGCUUGAGUAUGGCAGAGGGGGGUAGAAUUCCACGUGUAGCAGUGAAAUGCGUAGAGAUGUGGAGGAAUACCGAUGGCGAAGGCAGCCCCCUGGGUCAAUACUGACGCUCAUGCACGAAAGCGUGGGGAGCAAACAGGAUUAGAUACCCUGGUAGUCCACGCCCUAAACGAUGUCAACUGGUUGUCGGGUCUUCAUUGACUUGGUAACGUAGCUAACGCGUGAAGUUGACCGCCUGGGGAGUACGGUCGCAAGAUUAAAACUCAAAGGAAUUGACGGGGACCCGCACAAGCGGUGGAUGAUGUGGAUUAAUUCGAUACAACGCGAAAAACCUUACCUACCCUUGACAUGUACGGAAUCCUGCUG